AGAGUUUGAUCAUGGCUCAGAAUGAACGUUGGCGGCGUGCUUAACACAUGCAAGUCGAACGAGAAAGGGAUUGCUUGCAAUCCUGAGUAGAGUGGCGCACGGGUGAGUAACACGUAGAUAAUCUACCUUCAAGCCCGGGAUAACUAUUCGAAAGGAUGGCUAAUACCGGAUAAAGUAAUUCAACAAAAGUUGACCUAUGAAAGAUUGCCUCUUCUUGAAAGCAAUUGUUUGGAGAUGAGUUUGCGGACCAUUAGUUAGUUGGUGGGGUAAAGGCCUACCAAGACUACGAUGGUUAGCUGGUCUGAGAGGAUGAUCAGCCACACUGGAACUGGUACACGGUCCAGACUCCUACGGGAGGCAGCAGUGAGGAAUUUUGCGCAAUGGGGGCAACCCUGACGCAGCAACGCCGCGUGAGUGAAGAAGGCCUUUGGGUCGUAAAGCUCUGUCGACAGGGAAGAAAUUAUAGUUAUCCAAUAGGUAGCUGUAUUGACGGUACCUGUAGAGGAAGCACCGGCUAACUCCGUGCCAGCAGCCGCGGUAAUACGGGGGGUGCAAGCGUUAUUCGGAAUUAUUGGGCGUAAAGGGCGCGUAGGCGGUCUUGUCGGUCAGAUGUGAAAGCCCAGGGCUCAACCCUGGACGUGCAUUUGAAACAGCAAGACUUGAGUACGGGAGAGGAAAGCGGAAUUCCUGGUGUAGAGGUGAAAUUCGUAGAUAUCAGGAGGAACACCGAUGGCGAAGGCAGCUUUCUGGACCGAUACUGACGCUGAGGCGCGAAGGCGUGGGUAGCGAACAGGAUUAGAUACCCUGGUAGUCCACGCAGUAAACGAUGUU
rnacentral:rRNA from 1 species